rnacentral:tRNA from 1 species
UGUCCCAUGGUGUAAUGGCAGCACUCCUGAUUUUGGUUCAGUCAGUCUAGGUUCGAAUCCUGGUGGGACAA